GAUGAACGCUGGCGGCGUGCCUAAUACAUGCAAGUCGAGCGAACAGACGAGGAGCUUGCUCCUCUGACGUUAGCGGCGGACGGGUGAGUAACACGUGGAUAACCUACCUAUAAGACUGGGAUAACUUCGGGAAACCGGAGCUAAUACCGGAGAAUAUAUUGAACCGCAUGGUUCAAUAGUGAAAGACGGUUUUGCUGUCACUUAUAGAUGGAUCCGCGCCGCAUUAGCUAGUUGGUAAGGUAACGGCUUACCAAGGCAACGAUGCGUAGCCGACCUGAUAGGGUGGUCGGCCACACUGGAACUGAGCCACGGUCCAGACUCCUGCGGGAGGCAGCAGUAGGGAAUCUUCCGCAAUGGGCGAAAGCCUGACGGAGCAACGCCGCGUGAGUGAUGACGGUCUUCGGAUCGUAAAACUCUGUUAUUAGGGAAGAACCAAUGUGUACGUAACUAUGCACGUCUUGACGGUACCUAAUCAGAAAGCCACGGCUAACUACGUG
rnacentral:rRNA from 1 species